AUUUUACCUGUAAUUUUAGCAGGGGAGUUUGUAUCCGCUCAUUUCAUACCUAAAAAUGAUUAGAAGAAAACGGAACACGCUCCUGUGGUUAGCAGAAUAACGUUCCCCCACCCCUAAUGAUGUCCGUGUCCUGUUUCCCGAAACUGUGGAUAUGUUAGGUUGUGUGGCAAAAACAAGUGGUUGCUAAUCAGCUGACUUGGAGAUGGGGAGAUUAUCUGGAUUAUCUGGGUGGGUCCACUGUAAUCACAAGGGCCCUUAAAAAUAGAAAAGGGAGGGAGGAGAGAGAGCCUAAGAGAUAACAGCUUGAGAAGGACUCCACAUUGCUGAGAAAUGAAGCCACAAGCCAAUGAAUGUGAGUGUCCUCUAGAAGCUGGAAAAAACAAGAAACUGAGAUAGAAAGAGCACAGCUCUGCUGACACCUUGAUUUUAGCUCAGUGAGACCCGAGUCAGACCUCUAACCUCUAGAACUGGACAAUAAUAAAUGUGUGUUGUUUUAAGCCACUAAAUUUGUGGUAAUUUUUUUACAGCAGGAAUAGGAAACUAAUAUAACACCCAUGACCAAGUUCUCAAAAUUUUUUUUCCUUUAAAAUGCAAGAAAAAAAAACUAGAACUUAAAAUCUGACAGCCUGUCACUUCUCCUUUUUAUUAUUGCAAGGCCCUGCAAGCCAUCUCUAAUAUUUUACUGUUUUUCUCUUGGAAGAUUCUGUAUCUAAGAUAACCAGGCUUAUUUAUUGGGCCAAGUUUUGAACAUAGUAUGAUGAGAUUGUUGUAAGAUCCAGGAUCCAUAUUUUUAAAACCUCCCUUGGUGUCUCCAGGUUUGCAAAUCACUGGUCUAAAAUUUAAAUUCUAGACCACAUAAUUAUGAGUGGCUGCAUGCCUGGAGAAUGAGCACAGUGGAUUAUUAUUAACCUAGGAGGACAUAACAAAUGUGGGGUCCACAGAGACUGGGCCUGGUGAUGUAACAUUUCAUCAGCGACCUGAAUAAUGGAAUGGUGAGCAUGCUCAUUAGCUACGAAUGUGGUACCAAAAUGGAAAACAGGCGGAGGAGGGCAUUUUAAUUAACUAAUGAGGGUUGUUAGGGUGGGGAGAAUAUUGAUUCAAAGGACAGGUGACAGCAGGGUGAGGAAGUGCCGGAGGAGUUGCUGGGAACUGAAUGAAGUUCAGUGGCAGUGAGGGCAAACGCAGAAUAACGCAUGUUCUGUAGAAGGGAAGGAAACAGCACAAUAACAGGCGGGGCGGGGGAAGACUGCAAAAUCAGAGAAAGAUCCUGAGGUAAGUCUGAUCACGGAGUUGGGCGGGCGCUGGGGGGUGGUGCAGGAAGGCCACUUGGCCUGGGCCUCACAUUCACAUGGGCCCUGAAAUUUAGAAUUCUGGCAUCAUUUUGGCAUCUGAUAAAGGUGUUCAUUUGCUCGUGUAAACCUGUAAAGCUCACCACGGUUUUGUAAUCCCAUUUUUGCAACUUUUCCUUUUUUAAUGCACUGGGAGCCUCAAAAACGGAACGUGGCCUGGAUGUCUCAGUUCGAGAGUCCUGACUGGAGAUCACGGUGGAACACAAGAUUUAAUGGGUACUGCAGUUGGUGAAGCAAGCAUCACUGUGCAGCCACAGGGUAUUUGUGGGAGGAUUCACAACGAGCAGCGAGGGCCUCUAGCAAGCAAGGCUGGGAGAAUUCGAAUCCAGGGAGGAAAGGAGAUUUACUUUGUUCCUGAAGAAACUAUUAAUAGGACAACAAGAAUGAAAGCUCCAAUAGAGCAGUGGACAGUGGUGGGACAGCUGAUCCGCGUGCACAGAGCAGCAACCGAGCAAGGCUUUCAGGACAAGGGUUAAUAUUUGACAGAAUGAAACUUCCCGAUAAUUUGACAAGGGAUGCCUAACCAGGAAGCUGAAGAGACAGCUGCACCCUUCUCUGCAAAGAGGAUCUUCUGAGCAAGCCCAGGCAAGAGCCCUCUGUUCUUGAUGACUAUCUGUUAUUUCCACUUGGGAGCCCAAAUUAAAGUUGCUUAUUUGCCUUAGAAGCAAAGUUCGGCCAGAGGCAGCCUGGGGUGCCCAGGUUGUCCGAGAAGAGCCAUUUGAGGGAAAUUGCAUUUCUGGAAUUGAAACCAAGGGAGGUGGAACUGCAGUCGACACAAGGCAAGGACUGAGAAGGAGGCCGGGAUGACAAUCCAGAACAAACCAGCCACAGCACUCCCACUUGGAGAAUAAUCAGUUUCCCCAGUGGUGUUAUAAAACCGGUUGCAAAAAACCAGUUCCUCUUGCUUUAGGUGGCAAGGAUCUUCCGAGUGCUGGUUACCCUCUCACAGCUUUUCAACCUGCUGCCAAAGAAAUUUCCAUCUGUAGUUAUUAAUCCACUGGUAUUGAGGAAAGUUCCUGAACUUUGAAAGCUUGUUUGGGCUGGUAUGAAAGAAAAUAAGCACUUUCCACCACAGCAGAGCCAAACUGUGCUUUCUAGAGGCUGUGGAAAAUUGUUUUCAUUAAACGCAAAUCAUUGCCCCCCAAACCAAUGUUCUUGGGGAUGAAAUUGUCUUUGGCUCCAUUAACUCUGAGAGGCUACAUUAGCCAGUUCUCUAACGGCACUCUGCUAUGGAAGGUUCUAGAAAAUGAAUAGAAAGUGAAUCACUUUCCACUCGCACCCCCAGUACCAACCCCUCACCCCAGCAGCAGCUUACCCCU